rnacentral:rRNA from 1 species
AAUAAAUAAUUAAAAUAUUUAUAUUUAGGUAAAAGAUUAAAUGUUAAAUCAUUAAAUUUAUAAGAUUUGGCGGUAUUUUAUAAAAUUAGAGGAAUCUGUAAGUUAAAUAAAUUGAUGAUCCACGAUAAGAAUAACUUAUAAAAUUUAUUUAUGUAUUGCUGUUUAAAAAAUUUUAUUAAGUAAAAUUUAAUUUUUAAAAUUUUAAUUAAAUUCAAGUCAAAAUAUAGUAUAGGUAAGAUAUUUAUGGAUUACAUUUUUUUAUUAAUAUUGAAUAAUUUUAAUUUAAUUUUAAUUUGAAAUUGGAUUUAAUAGUAAAUUUAAUUAAUUAAUUAAUUUGAAUAUUAUAUGUAAAAUGUGU